GACGAAGGAUUCAAGCGUUUUCCGGAUUUACUGGGUUUAAAGGGUGCGUAGGCGGAAGUCUAAGUCAGUGGUGAAAUCCCGCAGCUCAACUGCGGAACUGCCAUUGAAACUGGUCUUCUUGAAUACAGUUGAGGUAGAUGGAAUAUAACAUGUAGCGGUGAAAUGCUUAGAUAUGUUAUAGAACACCGAGUGCGAAGGCAGUCUGCUAAGCUGUUAUUGACGCUGAGGCACGAAAGCGUGGGGAGCAAACAGG
rnacentral:rRNA from 1 species